UUGUCCCAGCACUAUUUGCUGAGAAGACUAUUCUUUCUGUAUUGAAUUGUCUUGGCACCCUUGUUAAAAAUCAAUUGAGGGCUUCCCUGGUGGCGCAGUG